UACGUAGGGGGCUAGCGUUGUCCGGAUUUAUUGGGCGUAAAGAGCGUGUAGGCGGCCAGGUAGGUGGGUUGUGAAAACUGGAGGCUCAACCUUCAGAGGUCGACCCAAACCCCUGGCUAGAGUCCGGAAGAGGAGAGUGGAAUUCCUGGUGUAGCGGUGAAUGCGCAGAUAUCAGGAAGAACACCCGUGGCGAAGGCGGCUCUCUGGGACGGUACUGACGCUGAGACGCGAAAGCGUGGGAGCGAACAGG
rnacentral:rRNA from 1 species